GCCCCGCGGCCGCCGCCAUGGAGCCGGGCAGCGGGAGCGGGGAGCGGGUCGCGCCGUGGGGCGUGUGCGAGGAGACCGCCAUCCUGCACGGCGGCUUCCUGCUGGCCUCCAGGCUCCUUCAGCCGCGGCCGCUGCGGGAGCUCCUCAAAGCCGAAUGGCCGCUCGUCGGGCCGCCCAUCACCGACGCGCUGAGGGAGAUCGGCGCCCGCUGCCCCUCGCCGCGGCAGCACGGGCUGUGGAAGAAGGAGGCCGUGGCCCUCGUGUGGGCCAAGGUGCUGCUGCCCGCCCCCCCCGCCGCCUCUCUGGACCGGGAGUGGAAGGAAGACGCCUUUUUCUCCGUGGGCGCGAUGAUCCCCGACGUUAACCGCACCGUUCUGUUCGAGCUGGUGAAGGCCCUGGGCGCUGCCCGCCUCUUCGCGCAGCUGCUGCUGGCGCUGCCCCCCGGCGUGUGCCGGGCUGAGCUGCGGCACCUGGUGCGGUACGUCGGCCACGAGACGGCCCCGUCGGAUGUCGGAUUCCUCCUGGACGUGUGGUGGGAGGUGGUGAGGCAUGUGCGGGAUCCGGAGGACAGCACGGUCACCGCGUUCAGCUCCCUCGUGUGUGAGCACGGCUGUGAGUGCGCUCUGGAUGACGGCCUGCAGCCCCCGAAGAGGUUCAAGGGGGACCCCAGCUCUCUGAAUGGCUCUCCGGCUGCCGACGGCCUGCUUGUGGUCCUCGUGGAGGGGUUAAAGCAAACGUACGGCAGCAUCGCCUCGCCCCGCAUGAGGUGCUACGCCCUGGGCAACCUGGUGGAGCUGCUGUCUGUGUUCACCGAGCUGGAGCCACAGGGCGGCCCCCUCCCUGUUGCAGAGUACCUGGCCAAGGUCAGCUCGGUGGUCAGCCUGUGGAGCAGUGACACUGAAAGCCAACACCACCACAGCGGGCUGGAUGAGAAAGUGAAGGAAGCCGAGAGGACCAUGAGCUUUGCAUCCAUAGCCAAGCUGUCGCGUGAAGAACUCAUAGCUGGCUUGGACUUUCUGCACUGCUUGCUGCGUGCCUGGGGAGAGGAGCUGCGGGGUGUCCUGAACAGCUCGGAGAAUCAGUGCUAUGAGAGCUACUGGCUCCUUGAUACUCUUCCCACCUUCAGGAAGAGCCUGGUUUGCUUCUCUGAGACUGGAGACCUGAGUGAGGAUGAGAUGCGUGUUGCGUUAGAACUGGCACAGACAAUUGAUGACUUUCUCAAGGAGAUCAGCACCACCCAGAAGAGCAAGGAUUUGGACACCAGCCUUUCAUCUUCGGUUGCCAUGACAAUCAUUGAGCAAAAGCUGCAGCGGCACAUGGAGGUGUGCUCCAUUUUUGCUUCUGAAAAGACCUGGGUCUUUUCAAAGGACUGGGUUGACUGCCUUGUGAAAAACAGAGCUCUUUUCCAGAAACCAGAGCUAGUUUUGAAAUUGCUGGAGACUCUGGUGAACUUUGCCACAUCCUGCGAAGACAGGGAGGCCCAAGAGAUGCAGAUGGAAGUGACCAAAGCCAUCGUGGAGUGUUACAGUGAGCUUUCAUUAACAGACAAAAACGAAGUGAUCUCGGGUGUCCUGGAGGCUUGGGGUGGGCCAGGGCUCUCCCUGAACCUGCAGGUUGUCAUGGAAGGGUUCCAGGAGGACCUCAAUGUGACUUUCAAUCAGAUCACCAAAAGCGUAUCUGAUGAAGGCCUUACCAGGGCUGUGGCUGCUGUGGCUAGGCUUGCUCUGCUGCACCCUGAGGCCACUGUGAAGCAGAUUUGUAGUCUUGCUGUAGUCAACCUGGGAGCACACCAGUUCCUGGCACAAAUCCUCUGCUCUUUCCCAGCACUGAGCUUCCUGGAGACGUGUGAUGAUCCAUGCAGACCACACAGCCUGGUGGUACGGUGCCUGAAGGAGGCAGCAUGGGAGAAGCUUUCCUCUGCGAGGGAGGAGGAGCAGUUCCUGGAGUUUUUGGCCUUUCUCAUGCAGCCAAGUUCGGCUGCCCCGCUUGUAUCACCUGCAGAAGUGACCAAGGCUUUUGUCCUUCCCUAUUUGAAAUCAGACUGUGCUCAAAUUGAGCUGAGCCUGCAGAUCCUCAGUAAAGUUUUGGGGAUACAGUCCUACCCAGACGAGCACUGGAUCAAGUCCUGCCACCCGUUCCCACUUCUCCUCAGCCUCUGCAAGCUUCUAGAUGGCUACACAAAGUACUGGCAUCAGCCCAAGGACCAGCUCUUCCCAUCCCUGGAGUCCAAAGACCUGGUGCUGAAUGUCCUCGGCCGGAUCUGUGAGGUGGUGACUCCAGAAACUGCCUCCUCCGCAGAGGUUUGGGUCCAGUCUCUGGCCUGGCUUCACAGGAAGGUGGCAUCACUGGACUGGACCAUUGGUCUCCGUCUGAAGAAGUUUUAUGGAGAGCACUUCAAGAAUGAGGUCCCAGCAACACUAUUUGAGAUCUGCACGCUCCCUGAAGAUGAAUGGACAUCCCAGCCUUUGCCAGCCUACGGGCCGGGCAGCGGGCUGCUGGCAUGGAUGGAGUGCUGCUGUGUGUCCACUGAGCUCAGAGAGACAAUGCUCUCACUCCUCAUGGUCAACGUGGACAACCCUGAGGAAGUGAAUCUCUUCAGCAAAGGCUUCCUGGUGGCCCUCAUACAGGUCCUCCCUUGGUGCAGCCACAGUGAGUGGAAGAGGCUUGUGCAUGUGGUCACAAACCUGCUGGAGAGGCAAGUGUUGCAUGUGCCAUACACACUGGAGUACGUGCAGUACGUGCCCCUGCUGAACCUCCGGCCGUUUGCCUGCUACCUCCAGCUCUCUGUGCUCUUCCUGCGGGGCUUCCAGCUCCUCUGCAGCUCCAGCUGUUCCACCUGGCUGCCACCACAGGCUUGGCUCCACGUGGUCCAGCUGUACUGCAGCAGCCUCACAGACCUGCUGAGCUCCAUCAAGAGCAUCACAGGGCCCCCCUUGCACCCCGCUGAGGACAGGAGCUCUGCAGAGGAGGUGUGCUUUGUCUGCAUCCAGGUGUUUUGCCACCUCCUGCACGUUGCAGCCAUGCUGCCUCCAGACAGUGGGUGCAGUGAGCCGCUGGUGGUGGUGGCCUUGGAGGUCCUCUCUCAGUAUGAGGUGUUCAGCUCUGCUGAUCCGUCCCCCAGCAGUGUGCUGAGGAGAGCCAACGAGAGGCACUUCCUGGAGUCCAUCACUGACAACAUCAGUGACAAGGCGCUGUGCGGCCCCCUCCUGCAGAAGCUCAGCAAGCUGGGUGCUUAGGCAGCCUGCUUGGCCAGAGACAGCCUGAAGAGCUAAAGGGAGAAUCAGAGGAGAGUGCUGACCCUGCUGCAAGGGACCACUGUGUGGAAAGCUCCUGUACAGCCAUAGCUGGGACAAGAUGUGACACCCAGAAGAAAUGGUUCUCCCAGACCGGGCCCCUUCCAGCCAUCCUUUUUAGCUUUUAGACAGAAUGAAAGGCACAGAGUGGGUGCUGGUCUAUCAACUGCUGGUGCAUCUGGCUGCCCUGGAACAGAGGAAACUCCAGGCUUGUGCAGGAGGCUGUGGGGAGGACCUGGCUGCUCAGUUUUAUGCUGUGUCCAGAGAAAG